ACUGGUGAAUGAGUAUUGUGCCUAGCUCCCAUCCUUCCUACUUACAUGUUAUCUUUCCCUUAUCUCCACAGUGUCAGAGAGCUUCAGCUUUCUGCUUAUUUAUCUCCAUGGUGUCCUGAGGACUUCUUAAAAGAGUGAGAUCUGACUAACUUGUCCAAAGUCACACAAGAAACCGGCGGCAGCACAGAGGAUUGAUGAUUUGUUGGCACGGCAGGCCAAAAACCCACUUGGGCAAGGUUCAAACAAACAUCCAGGCCAGCAGCUUCAAGUGCUCUCAUUCACAAGCGAUCAGUCAGAAAUCUCUCUGCUGAGUUUGGUGGCACCGACAUCAAAGGUACAGCACUUUUCAUUGCAUGACCACACUGACGUCACCACUGCAAAGCCUGAUGGAGGAUGGAAUGAGCAGAUCCUGCCAGUUUUCACUGCCUGGAUUUGGCAGCACACAGAGGUUUUGUGAUGAGCUCCACUGGAGGUGAGGUGAUGUUGGACAGCUGUGACAACCCCUCUGUUAGAUGUGGCACUCAAUAACCUGACCUCAGGGACAACACUGAGACUUUCUAGGAGUCCAUUACUAAACUGUCAAGCUACGUUGUUUGCUGUGGUGUCAGUGCCAGUGUGCAGCAGAAGGGCAUCUCAUCUCUGAACCAUGCUGGAUUAGGAGGUGGGAGUCAGCAGUUUUCUUCCAGCAGAUACCAUCCAACCUUGCCUUCCACCAUCCAGAUUUGCAGGUCAGUGCCCCAAAGCAAUCUUCUUCCUUGACUCUGAUACUUCUACCCAGAUGAUCAUUUUAGCUGGUAAAGAAUUUUUCUAACAUAUGAAGAAACAAAAUCCUAGCAAACCAAAAUAUAACUAGUGCCCAGCUGCUUCUUUAUCUGGCUGUGCUUUAUUUGCACAAGCUGAAGAACUUUGUGGUGCCAGGAGGGAUGUGAUAGAAGUUCUUUGUCUCAUAAAUUAUUUUGGCCCAGUCUUCCCCUGGGAGAUAGGACUUGAGAGCAAGAGCUGGCAGCAUGGGUUCUGCUCCCAGCUUUGGCACUGACCUGCUGCGUGACCUUGGACAACUCACUUCACCUCCCCUGAGCUUCUGUUUCCCCUCCUCUCCUUUGUCUGCCUUGUUUAUUUGGACUGUCAACUCCUAGAGAAAGGAAUUCAGCCUCCCUGGCAGCUUGAAGAUUGCAUAGCGUGACAGGAGCCCAAUCGGACUCACUUCUGGGAGGUGCUACAGUAAAAAAGGUCAUAAUGAUGACUAGAAACUAGCAUUUGCUAAACAAUUGUAUGGGAGUUUUUGAUUAUUAAGGGGCAUACAUGAACUAGCAGAACAUCUCUGAUGGUUCAGAGAGCUUGCCCAGGGACAGCAACUGUUUUUGUUCCUUUUCCAUGGCCACACUGAAGACCGUAUCUACCAGCCCCAUAAAUAUUGACAUCUUGUCCCUGUUCCAGCUGCACUGUGAGAGGAGUGGGAAGCAUCUGCCAAAGAAAAGGGAAUGUUUGUUGGAGGUAAUGAAGAAGGCUUCUCUUGGAAUCCUCCCCCUCACACACAUCUGGACAGAUAACAGCUCUUGUGAGAAAGGUUGAAAGAGCUGGGGAGGCCUCCUGGAAAGGGCAGGGAAACACUCCACUUUGGAGCUGGUUAGCACCAAGGGCAGAAAGGUGGAGAGAGGCUGUGGGGUCUAAUGCAGGCCCUGUCACCCAGAAGUAAGGGAUGGAACAGACUAAACCAAGACCACCAAAAGCCCAUGGGGUAGAUCAUCUUUAGGUGAAACCACAAGAGCCUUGAUUCCAGAAUACACCACUUUCAGCAAGUGCUGCAGCUUUGAAAUUCAUUUUACCCUCUGGAUGGUAUCAAAAGGUGUAAAUGAAGGGCUUGCCAUUGCAUUUGUGGCUCUUGAGAAGACUCCAUGCUCACCCACUGCUUUCUACUCUGCUCAGAGUCCCCCUGGCAGUUCCACUGCUGUCCCUCAGCCAAGAGCACAGCCUUCUCUUCCAACUAAGUGACCCACAACUGAUACACAAGGACAUCAUAGAAGGACAAGAAUCACAUCAUUCGUGCUAUACGCCACUCCACAGAUAUAGCUAAGGGCAAAUUGUUUCUCUAACAUGCCAAGGAUGCUUUCAAAAAACCUCUUACCCCACUACCCCUUCGGCAGUAACCCUGCAGCUUGACAAACUCCACUGGAACGCUUGUCUGCUUUUAAAAUGUCUUGAAUGUAUUGCAUGUAUUGGCCUGUCAUUGGUUUUCUCAAGCCCCAGCGAUACAGAGGGGUCUGCUGGGAGCAGUGUGGAAAGCAGCUCCUUAAGUGAUGCUUUCCAGCUGACAGGACUGGAGGGUAGGCACUACCUGCUGUUAGGGAAGAAAGCCAAUCCAGUUGUUAAUCCAUCAACCAGAGGCCAAUGCUAAAUUGUUCCUUCCAGUGCUGCUUUUCAGUGCUUUGUCCAUUUAUGCCUGUGCUGGUGAAGGUCCUUCCCCUGCCUGCCCUCUCAAAAGCAUCCUCUGGGAUGAGUUCUUCCUACCCUGGCAAUGCCUGGGAGUGCACAGAGGCUUUUUCUGUCUCCAGAUGUAACAGGUGGCAUAAAAAAGGCACAAAAAUAGGUAAGAUUAUCUAAAAGAAUAAGCUCCACCUGGCCUUAGUUCCCUACUCCCUACUGCAACAGGAGCCUUGGAAGCUCAAGAGAGAGAUGAGCACACAUGGAAGAGUGAUGCUCAGGCUCAGAAUGAGCAGGAGUGGGCGAGCAGUGUGCAUUGCCACUGGUACUGCUUACAGAUCUGUGUUCUACCACUGCAUCCAUCUUGCUGCACAGCACGAGGCCAUCAUCACAUGAAGCAGGUAAAGUGCAGUAGCUGCAUAUUUAAAGGAAACAUAAUAAGAGAAGAAAAAAGUCUGUUUUUCACAGCUUGCAGGUUGCGGUUAAGUAGUUACUCCUUUCCAUGGCAGUCGCUGGGGCUCAGAGACCACCACAGACGUGCAGUUGCCAGGGUCUGAAGGGUGAAAUUCCUGUGUCUCAGUCUCCAAAUUCUUCAAAUAGUCCCUCCAAUUUUUAUGUUUUCAUAAAGGCAUGGCCUGCUGCCGGGUGACCUGGAAGAGGCAUCGCAGUGCUUUGUCAGCACACUCGCCUCACUGCAGAAGCUAAGGACCAAGUUGUCUUAUUAAUCAUUUAAAAAGUGGGGAGGAAAAAAAAAAAUAAAAGGCACAGUUCUGGCUAAUUGUAGGGGGGAAAAAUGAGGUCAGAGUUCAUUUUUUUUCUCUGCUGUCACUUCACAGUUCACUGGCUGACAAGGAAAGCAAGAUAAGAAGAGACUGGAGAUAGUUCAGGGAACUGAACUCCCUCUCCCAAGGAGAAGUGGGGGAGUUCAGGUUUCUGAUGUGGAUGGAGAGGCAACUGUGCUGGAUGUUGAGCCACAGGACUUGGCAGAGGGGAUGCUAUAAGCUUCUCCAAGAGGGAGCAGGGGGGUUUGGCAUGGUGCUCAUGGAGCAAGCAUGUCUCAUUUUUUGCCACCCCAUAAACGUACUGACAUUGGUGCUGCUCACAGGUAAGUCUGAGCUGAGAGAAACUGGGAGCCUCCUGUACCAGCAGCCAUGCAGGAUUUCAAGCAGAUACAUUUGAUUCAAUCUAAGCCUCAGGGUUUAUCCACUCUCUGGGUUUGUUUUUUGGUUUUUUUUUUUUUAUUUCUUUUUAGUUUAACAUCUAUGCAAAAGUAUAGAUUGGAGGGGAGAGCAGAGCCCUGGUGCUCCUUCCUGCUCUGACACUGGGCUGAUGAUACAGCAAAGCCUGCCAAACCACCCUUCCCUCAUUCUGUCCCCUAUGGUCGCUCCUGCUAUGAGCAGCAACUGCUGGAGUAAGCGAGACCUCCUCAGGAGCGUGAGAUCCAGAAUCAUUCAUUUUAUGGGGCCCUCCUGCGAGAGCAAGGGAUUUGUUACCCUGAUUCCUGCUGGGGAAGCACUCCCACAGCCACAAUGUGAAACACAAUACGGCACGGACUCUGACAUUCAAGCUGGGUUAUUUGAGGCAAGUUUGUUACACGGGGCCUAUGCAGCACAAUUCCAGCAGUAAUUAUCCAGGCUCCUUGCACCAUUCUGGCCAGUUCAAUGCUAACUCUGGCCUGAAAUCGCAAAGUCACGGGAAAAGCCGAUGUGCCGUGCUUGGCUUUAGGGAUAUAGGAGAAAAGGGAUCAGGAGAAGGAAUCACAACCAGGGGGAGGCUGUUUAGUGAAGACCCCAGUGGUGAGGACAUGCUCUAGGGAUGGGAUGUUUGCCUCUGUGAGCAUGAGCAGUGGGCUAUGGCAGGUGGCUUGGGACUUUCUUCUGCAGUGGCACUUAUGGAAAUUCCAGUGUUUAUGAGAGACUUAAGCUUUCUGCUUACAGAAAUUUAAGUGAUGCCUACAACUUCUAAGGUCAGGCCAGGGGAUCACAGCAGCCUGUGAAUCUCUGUCCCAGGGCUAUUUAGCUUAAGGAGACUUAUCUGCAAGAUGUUGCCUUAAGGUAGGAUCAAAAUUUUUCCUUCCUCAAGUGAGCACGUGCCGAGCAAGGAGAGGAUUGCAGGGGAAGUGUGAGGUGAGAAAGGUGUUGUCAAACUCUUGUGAGAGGUUAACCUGGUUCCUGAAGGUUGCACAAGCCCCCACCAGCAGCACUGGUGGUGUGGCAGAGCUGAAGGCUGAGCAGGUAAAAAGCAGGUGGGCCAUUUGUGCCAUGAAUAACAUGAAUAACACCUCCAGCACAGCCAGUUCCACCAUGCUUCGAAACAGAAAACAACUCCUCAAGAGCCUUGGAAUGCUAAGACAUGUAAGAAGGAAGAGUGGAUAAAAAGGGCUGAACAGAGGACUAUAAACAUCUACAAAGACAUGUUCCCCUGCCCCUCCAGCCAGCAUACCCAUCCCUCCCCAGCCCUAUUUUCCACUAAUGCAGGAUAAUUCCUAAUUGCUUUUGCUGUGGAAGUAAUGAGAUGUCAGGGUGUUUUCCUUUUUUCUUUUGUUUUUUUUUUUUUUUUUCUUUUGGCAGGGACAACAAUCAGGACCCUUCUGCAUUUAGACAUGAAGGAAGAGAAGGAAAACAGUCUUGUUUUCAAUAAGACAGGGUCUCUUCCUCCGUUGCUCAACUGCCCAUUUGCACAAGGCUUUCUGGCCCCGUAGUAGCCUGUUUCCCUGGAGAGUACAGUCAACAUGGGGAGGCAAGGCAGUGUUGGAAGGUAGCCUGAGGAUAACAGGCGUUAUAAAGAGGAAUUUUUUUCCCUGCUGUUUUUGUUUGUUUUACCACAGAGGCUCAGAGGAGCUGGCCAAGAGCCUCACACAGCAGGUGCUGCCUGGGAAUGCAAGGGGAGCAAAAUUCCUACUAAAUGGAAGCAUUAUUUGACACCACUGCCUUUCGCAAUCUUUUUCUUUUGUUUUAGACAAACUCCAAGGCCUCCUGGGCUUUGUGGUCAAAGCUGAGUUGGACUCUUCUGCAGGGGAGGAAAGGGAAGUAGUAAGGGUGUCCCCAAACAUGCCAAACACUUGGGUGACAGAGACCAAGCCUUCUGGAAACAAUGCUGCUGGGUUCCCACAGAAGUAGCAAGAGGGCCAAGAAAAAAAUAAAAAUCACCUUUGGCUCCCUCACAGCAGUGUUAAUGCCUUUUUUCUUUUUUUCAUUUUUUUCCUUUUUUUUUUUUUUUUUUUUUUCAGUGAAGGAGAGGCUGAGCCUGCACACCCACACCAAAAUGCUUUUGAUAUUUGGAGAUCUGCAGGAGUGGGUCACUAUUCUGGCCAGCUUGCUAUUGUCUACCAUGGCUGUUGCAAGACUCGAAGAGAGAGUAAGUGUGGCUAAAGGAAAGCAGGAUAACUCCUUCCUUUACCAGAGGAUUCCCCUGUGGCUCAGUCCUUCCUGUCCUCUAAUUUUCUUUUGGACUUCAGCUCCUUCCCAGUAAAACUGGCAGAAUCCAUAGGGGAGGGGGUCAUAUAUCAUCAGCAUGAGAUGUGUAACUAUUUCAUAAAUGAUGGAACAGUGUUAAAACCCAGAAAGAAGGAAGUCAGAAUCUUCCAGAAAUUACAGGCUUUGUGACAGACUUUACAUUCUUCUAGUUUUUUACAAGCAACCGGGGUGCCUCUGUCCAAAGGCUCUCCUCCUACCAGUAAAAAUGUAGUUUCAGAGAAAGUCUCAUUUUUCUUAGCCUUUUGGAUACUCUCAGUUGCAAAAAUUACACCAAGGAAUUGAUAGCUCAUUUCCAGAAGCCUUCAAAAGGUGCAGUAACUGGCUGUGCCUGUGUGUUCAGGUACAUCUGUCUCGUGGUUGUCCUCGAGCAAAGGGACAGUGCUUUGGUUUGCUCCACACCUUGCAUGCUGGCAUUGUUCUCACUGAUGGAGACCUGGGAUGCUCCUCCAAAGCUGGUGCUAUUAAUAUUGAUUAUAUUCUUCCCCUUCCACACUCUGUGGUUCCUGUGGGGGGCCAACAGCCCCAGCCUGGAUGCUUUUAAACAGUGCAGUGUGAGACACAGCCACAUUCCUUAGCUGUAAGUCCUUAGAAUCACCCAGCAGCUCUCCAAAACAAGUUCAGAGCACAACUUGCAGCCACACAGAUGACGUGGCUAUUCAGGCCCAGAGGUAAAACCUACAAUAUUAGCAACACAGUGGAUAGGUGGCACCCACAUUCCACUGGCAUUUCUCCCUGCCAGUGUCCAGAUAUUGCAUUCCUCAACCCAAACAGCAGCUUUCUUGAAUUUCUUGUACUGCAAAAGAUGGAGAAAUCCAUGUGAGACAAGUAUCUUAUGCUUCCUCGUUCUUCCACUGCUAUUUAUUGGGUACUUUAAAAUUAAUGAAAACCAAAGACACUUGAAUGGAGUGCAGAAAGUCAUGGAGUUCAGAAAAUGAAAAUUUAAAUGAGCUUCUUUCAGAAGGCCAUUUGUAUAUCAUUAAAAUUUCUGCCCACUUAGAAAGGGGAAGGAAGCAAAACUUAAAAGCUUCUGGUGUAAAUUUGCAAUGGUGAGAAAAGUAUGUCCUUGACAAAUAGCCAGAAGGACAAGCUACUACCAUGAUCAAGCUCUUCAGGAUCAGGAGUUUCAAAGAUGGAAAAUAUGCCUUGAUAGUGUGAAACACAGAUCUAUCUCCAUGUCUAAAUGGGAUGGGGAGAGUGUAGUAAUGUACAAUACAUCUGUGCAAAAAGAUGGGUGAAGUGUUCAGAAGUCCUUUGGCAAGGCUGGUCAGAGCCCUUGUUUCAGUAAGAAAUGUCUGUCUGGUUUUUACAUCAGCAAGUUCAAUUUCUCUUCAUUUUUCUAAAUGAAAGUAUUUUGAAAAAUAUUUUUUUUUAAUAUCCCAAGUGAAUUUUUUCUGUAUUAGUUAAGGACAAAUGAUAAUGCAAACAACAGUGCAAAAAGUUUUUAAAUAGCUAAAACUGCAGUAAAAUUGACUCACAAAUACUUCUGAUAUAUCAGCUUUUUGUCCAGAUGUCAGCAUUAAAAAAAAACGCAACUCCAACUCUUUGAAGGAUGUAGGGUGCCAGGCAAUGCCAUUCAGUUAUGGAGCAGAGAAAAAGCUGAUGGCCACAUGUGAAACCAAACAAAAGUGGAUUAGAAAUGAAGAACAUUUUUAAAUUAGUGUGCGGUUCAAAAUCAAGUAAUUUGAUGAGUCUCCAACUUCUGAUGUGUUCAUAUUCCAAUAUAUUGGUAUGUCCGGAGAUAGAUGUUUUUCUAGAAGAUGCAGCAAAGCUACUGGGCUUGGUACUGGGCUAAUUGACUGCAACUGAAUGGCUUUGAAAUAUAGGAAGUCAUACCAGAUGUUCUCUUGGUUCCUUCUGGCCUUAAAUGCUGUGAUUCUAUGAAUGAGUUUCUGAAUCUGCGAAAUCCGAAGUCCUCAGAAUACAAACAUAUGCGUAGAGUUAUACUUCUGGCCUCCGCAUCAGAAGAAAGAUAUUGAAUGUGCAUUGUUGUGAUAAAUCAAAGAAGCAGCUAAAUCAGAGCUGUAAUAAAAGUCAACUGCAGAUCUUUGUGCAGAAAUUGGUCAUAUGUCAUGUGAGGACAAGGUUUGGAGAUGAGAUUUCUUAACAUUUGAAAUGACUUCUUCUGGAAGCAGCCCCUUCCAAGCACUGUGGUGGAGAUCCUUCAGACUCUCCACCACCUUCUGUGCCACACAGGAGCUUGUUUGACAAGUGACGAUCAGUGAGGCACUGAAUGCUGCUGACCACAGUGUAAUUGAGAUGAGCAUCCCUGCCACGAAAACCAGCAGCGAGACAUUCAAGCCAAGAGAAAGGAGUUUUGUUUUGCUGGGCUUCCUAAAGGGGAAGCAUAUCAAAACGGGGGAAACUGAAAUCCAUAGUCAGCAAGAAAGCUUACUCGGCCAUGGUCUAAGCACAGUCACACCAACCAUGUAUCCACCCACUCCAAAAAGUGUUUUGAAAAAGGAAGAAGAACAGCAACAAAAGGAAGAAAAAGGAAGAAGGGCAGCAGCAGCAGCAACAACAAAAAAUCUCAGAAGAAUUAUGAUACUUCUGUGUGAUUUGAAAACACAUCUAAGUAAUUUGAUUCAUUCUGGGAGGAAAUCCUCUGUAUACCCCCUAACUGGAUUCAGAUGGCAUGAAUGUGCAUAUCACCACUGAAAUUCUUUCUUGCCAGGCUCUGAGCAUCUCUGGUUUCCUGCUCUCACCAUCUCCCUUGGCUAUGCCUCUGGUUCUAGCUGGAGAAGGUAGCAGAGUGAGCAGGACCCAACUGGCAACCAACACAUCUCAUCAGCUCAAUAUGGGGUGAUUCCUAAGAUGCAUGGUUGAUCACUGUGAUGCAAAUCUCCCUCCUUCAUUCAAGGAGGGUUCUGGACCCUUGCAGCAUGGGCCCACUGCUUUAAAGAAAACCUUUGAGAAACAAACACUUGGUUUGAAUCAAAUGCUCAGAAAAAGGACACAUGCUGCCAAAAUUCUCCAGUGGAGCACCCUUAUUAUAUAAUGCCAGGCUACAUGUGUCGUGCAAAGUGCUGUCUGUCAUUUGCAGAGGGGCCGCUGAUGCUCUAACGUCACCACCAAUGUCACGCAACACUGGGUGAAGCAACGAGCGCAGCGAUGUCACCAGGAAACACAUAAUGCCAAUGACAGUGGAACUAAUGUAGAGGAGAUUAUCCUUACAUUAUUCAACACUUCCAAUUGCUCUCUGGUUUAAGUGGCUAUAUGAUGUAAUAAUAUAUAAAUACUGUAAUGAAGGGUUUAUUUAUAGCCAUCCUCAUCCUUACUGGUGAAAGUAUUAAUGUGUUUUUCCCACACUAUGCUCAUUGACCGCAGCCGUGCAACCCAUUUUCAAGGGACUAUGUCAAAAGAGUGUUUAAGCCAUUCCUCAGUCAGAGGAACAGGUGAACAACUAAUGUAGCAAGGGAAGUAAUCAGCUUUAAAAAUGGGAAUGAAGAAAUCCAAAAACAAAGCAAAGAAGUGUGGGUGAAGAGAGGACAUACCUCAAAUGGAAAAAGAGGGUUAAAGUGUCUCUAAAUCUGGCAACUACUUUCCAGUUUGGGGACCAGUGGACUCCAUGGAGAAAAAGACACUUGCACCUAGCUCUCAUUUAAGACAUGAGAACUGAUGGAGGGAGCAGGGAGGAGUGAUCAGACCUUGGACCAAAAGCAGAUUAAAAUCUUAGAAAUAUGGAGUGAUGCCAUUCACACUGCCACAGUUGCUCUCGAUUUCAGUGUUUGCCUUAAUUGAGCUUGCAUUUCUGUAUAAUCCUUCACAUCCUUUAACUUUCUAAACCACCCUGGAGCCACAAGUAGCUUCCAGAUGUUUUUUUCCUCCUGCCUGAGGAUGGCAUGGAGAGAAAAACAUCAGGUCUUGAAUGGUUGAAGGUGCAGGAUUUCAGAAGGACUAUAUAGCUCUUGCAGAGACACACAACUCUCCCAUUCCUAUGCUCCAUCUGCAAAGAGACUUCCCUUUCACUGUAAACACAGUAAAAAUGGGAAAAAGCAGAAAGAAAAAAAUUUACUUGUGGGAGAAAUGUGUGAUUUCAUCAUUGCCAAGUGUGGGUUUCUUGGGGUGUGUAGAAGAAUCCACAAUUACCUGGAGAGACAAAGUGGUGGAGAUGGGGCUUCUGGCUCUCUGGCCUGCUUUCCUCCUGUGCUGCACCAGGUUCUGACCCACUCCUGAGCCCCUCCUGUUACUGCAGCUCCAUUGCUGACCUAGGAAGAGAUGCUUUUCAGAAAUUAAUCUGAUACUGCAUUUCUCCUAUUUAGGGAGGAAGCUUUCCCUGUCUUUCACUUGGCUCACCAUUCCUUGCAGGGUGUACCACAUAUUUUCUUUAAUGGCUCUUUGAAUGGUGAAAACAGGGCCAGGCUUGUAGAGAAAACGUCAAAAUUUCUCCACCCAGAUUAGGACUUCUCCGUUCAUCUUUCUUAAAAUUUGCCAUUCCCUGAAUGGCAAAUUCAUUUGCCAUGAAAAUCCUGUGUCUCCAUGUGGGCAUUGAGUGCGAAGCAGAGCAAGAAAUGGGGCAAGAAAUGGAGUGACAGCAGGAGGGGAUGUAUCUUCCUCCACUGCAUUGGCAUGCUGCCAGCAAGUGCAAGAAUCUGCCUUUUUUUUUCCCUGUUUCACAACAGAGCUGUGCUGUAAACAGCAUUCAUCACACAGGGAGUUCCACUUAGAAAUGGGUGAAUGCUAGAAAAAUACUAUUUACAAGUCCUCCCUCAAAUAAAAACCAUGAGUUUAUUUUGGCACCAGUAGUGAUUCUCCAAGUGAAUGCUUCUGGCAAGUACUCAGGCAGGUACAACAACCCUUGCUGAAAUAAUCAGAGGAUGGGGACAUGUUGCAGAUACUAGUGUAAAUGUGAACUGUGGGACAAACACUUGUGCAAAUCUGUGCAGUGAGGGGUUUGCAUAACUGUUUUUGAUUGCUGCUUUUGGGUUCCAGACUCCUCGAAUCAAAGCGGAGAAGCUCUGCCACAUGACGGAGGUAAACAGGGACACACGCAGAAACUCAUCAAGAAGAGUACAAAUAAAAAUUAACAAAAAAAAAAGGCAACAACAAAUAGUUGAACUGCAGUCAGGCAGCAUAGUUUACAACCAGCCCAAAGACUGAGAAACAGCCAAAGAAACCAUUCACGUAAUAGCAGCAUGUCAAACACAUCUGUAAAGUUCCUGUAGCAUUUGCAAACAGCGGCCUAAAUUCAACAGGAUUUACUUGGAGCAGUUCAUGAGAUUAAAAUCAAGAGAGCAUGCAAAUAUCUUACUGGAACAGGGCCAGGAGACAGGACUACAAUUGCAUGGUUAAUUGAAUUUGGCAAGCAGUCACCCAGCUAUAUUUCCCCAGGAUUGACAUGUGGAGUAGAUCGAUUGAUACUGGAACAAUUAAGGAUGGGCAUUGCAGCAAAAAUGAAGAUCUGACCAAGUGGGCUCACCAAGGUGGGCAGAUUGGUUAACAUUCAAUAGGUGUCACCUACGAGCAGAGAUCCAAGGCUGGUGUCACCUCAAAUUGCCCCCCAACCUCCAAACACUUCUCCUGAUGCAGACAGAGACUUAACCAUAUGCUGGCUGUAACUGGUGUGUCCACAUGUGAAAGCAAUUGCAAGGCUGGAAGGGCUUGGGUUCUGUUUUGUUUGCGUUGUUCAUUAUCUACAAAUGCAAUUACCAAGGGAUAAAUUAAAUUAAGUUGUAACAUUAUUUUGAACAUCUUUUCUGGUUUGCUUUAUUUCAGAUUUUCUGAGAGGCCAGUGUUUAUAGUUAAAAGUACAACUUGGCAGAAGUACAAUCAGGAGUGAGCAACACAUACCACAAACAAAACCAUUAAGACCAUUUAGAAAAUUUUUGCAAAAGACAAUCAAGUAUUACGGGCCUAAUUUCCCACUUGGUCACCAUGAUUUUAUGUCAACAUUAACACCAUUGACUUCAGCUGAGCCCUACAGGCACAAAGCUUGUGUGAUGGGGUGGGAAACUGGCCCAGUUUAGGAUUAUGUAUAUCGUAUUAUUUAAAAGACAAAGAAACAAAUCCCAGGAGUGUGUAAGUAUGCUGAAGUCUCUGAAUGUAGACUUUUCCCACUGAAAUCAAAAGCAGAGCCUCUGUGUACUGGAAGCAGUGGAAUCAGGUGUCCUCUACCUGUUAUUGGCAAGGCAUGACCAUUAACAAUGAACAUUUUGGGGCUGGAUGAAGCGUGUAGGACAGGAUGGAUACUCUGGAAAGUAGAGGGACGACUAAAGAGAAGGGUGUGUCUUCUUCUCUGAGAAACUCCUCCCCCAGUCCUAAAACCUUAUUUAUUAUUACUUCAUACACUAGGACCUAUUUUUAAUGCUUCUCAAAUUAGUCAUAUAAUUUUUUUUCCCCAUAUGUGUAUGAAUAUAGAGAUACGUAAACCCAAAGAAAGACAGAAGGUGUUUUUUCUACCUGGUUGAUCAUUGUUUUGUGUUUUUUUCAUUUUAGUUCUUUUGAAAGUGCAAUUAUAUUAGACAUGCUGGGCUGGCCACUAGGAUGAGUAAAACAGUUUGAGAGGAGAAAAGGUUUGUGAAUAUUUCAGGAUAAUUACUAACAGUUAGUCCCAGACCCAGAAAAAAAUA